rnacentral:rRNA from 1 species
CCUACGGGAGGCAGCAGUGAGGAAUAUUGGUCAAUGGGCGAGAGCCUGAACCAGCCAAGUCGCGUGAGGGAGUACUGCCCUAUGGGUUGUAAACCUCUUUUGUCGGGGAGCAAAAGCCGGACGUGUCCGGCUGUGAGAGUACCCGAAGAAAAAGCAUCGGCUAACUCCGUGCCAGCAGCCGCGGUAAUACGGAGGAUGCGAGCGUUAUCCGGAUUUAUUGGGUUUAAAGGGUGCGCAGGCGGAUUUUUAAGUCAGCGGUAAAAUCGUGGGGCUCAACCCCAUCCAGCCGUUGAAACUGGGGAUCUAGAGUGUGCGAGAGGUAUGCGGAAUGCGUGGUGUAGCGGUGAAAUGCAUAGAGAUCACGCAGAACCCUGAUUGCGAAGGCAGCAUACCGGUGCACAACUGACGCUCAGGCACGAAAGCGUGGGUAUCGAACAGGAUUAGAUACCCCAGUAGUC